rnacentral:rRNA from 1 species
GAUGGAUAGGGGUUCUGAGAGGAAGGUCCCCCACAUUGGAACUGAGGCACGGUCCAAACUCCUACGGGAGGCAGCAGUGAGGAAUAUUGGUCAAUGGGCGUUAGCCUGAACCAGCCAAGUAGCGUGAAGGAUGAAGGCUCUAUGGGUCGUAAACUUCUUUUAUAUAAGAAUAAAGUGCAGUAUGUAUACUGUUUUGUAUGUAUUAUAUGAAUAAGGAUCGGCUAACUCCGUGCCAGCAGCCGCGGUAAUACGGAGGAUCCGAGCGUUAUCCGGAUUUAUUGGGUUUAAAGGGAGCGUAGGUGGACUGGUAAGUCAGUUGUGAAAGUUUGCGGCUCAACCGUAAAAUUGCAGUUGAUACUGUCAGUCUUGAGUACAGUAGAGGUGGGCGGAAUUCGUGGUGUAGCGGUGAAAUGCUUAGAUAUCACGAAGAACUCCGAUUGCGAAGGCAGCUCACUGGACUGCAACUGACACUGAUGCUCGAAAGUGUGGGUAUCAAACAGGAUUAGAUACCCUGGUAGUCCACACAGUAAACGAUGAAUACUCGCUGUUUGCGAUAUACAGUAAGCGGCC